UCAGUUUUUCAAAAAUCUAGCCUCUUAAAAUAUUGUAGCCUCACCUUUUAAAGCAAAGAACAAAGAUAGUUCAGGCCACGAGUCGUAUGCGUAAUUUUCCCAAAAAACUAUGCUAGCCUUUUUGAAAAAAACUGCAAAUUGAAGAUAAAUUUGUAUAAAAUUGUUGUCAGUGCCUGGCCGGCAAAGUUAUCCCUCAGUGCAGGGAUAACACUCCAUCAUCAUCAUCAUUAUUAUCGGGAGGAUGAUGAUGAGGACGGUGCUGCCCAGACUCUUCUCAUCUUGCUGGGCCACGAUGAUCGUCCUGAGAGAAUCAUCAUUAUCGCCGGGGACAGACGGCGUCGCAUCAAGUGCCUCGUUGGCUUUUUUUUUUUUUUGUUUUUUGUACCUGUUGUAAUUGCAUAACUGUCGGGGGCAUACAUAUGUGCUGCCAUCCACCUGUGAGUGUGAGUAUGAGUCAGGUGGUAUUUGUAUCCAUUGCCUCGCGUGCGUAUCUGUAUCUGUAUCUGUAUCUGUGUCACAGGCAAUUCUCAAAAGCAUAAAAGUCAAAUUUGUCGCAUGGCCCUUGGAGAAUCUGCCCCACACACCUACUCCCACUCCCACUCCCAGUCCCAGUCCCAGUCCCAGCUUCAGUUUUGUAUUUCCCAUAGCAGCCGCAGGCCCAGACAUCGCCCCAGCCCCCUCUCCCUUUUGCUGGACAGACACACAGGUAAUUGGCUUUGGUAUCCCGUAUCUCAGGCAUAUGGAUACAUUUAGAUACGUACACAUGGGGACGGCUCAAGGCGCAAUAAAGUUGGAGUCCAUUAAGGUGUUGGAAGACCUGCAAAUACCCUUUCCUUUCUAACAAAAAUUAGAGAUUAAAAUUAAAAUAAAAAGGUAGAGUGCUAUUUAGAAAGUAUCUGCUAUAGCUUGAAACUUGACUGCUUAUUGGUUAAAAGAAUUGUCUAAGAAGCUUCGCCAUUCUCCUCUUUAAAUCCUUGUAGUUCUUCCUAAAUAUCAUCUCUAAAUAAUCCCCCCUUGACAUAUUACCUUCCAUAAGCUGCACACCACUUUUCUCAUUAUUUAAGCUUGUUAGCUAAUUGAGAUUAACAAUCACUGACUAACUUAAAACACAUACUAAUGAAUACCCUUGAUAUACCCCAAGAAUGCCCUUUCAAAAAUCCAAAAAGGGCUCUCCCAAUGCAUAUGGAAGUGGAUGUGGAACUGGCGCCUGUUUUUUUUGUUUUUGGGAUCGUCACUUUGGGACCCGGAGUGAAGUGAAGUGGUCGUGGGCUUAAUGGAGAGACCAUGGACACCCCAGCCAGGAGAGGAAUCAGAAGGACCCAGGACCCAGGACCCAGAAACAGGAGCAGUUCACAAAUGAACUCCAAAAGUUGACACAAUGUCCCCAAGAGUGCCAAAAAAAAAUGGAAUGGAAGGAGUUGGAGCAGCAGGAACAAAGGCGGUGAUGUCCUUCCAGCUCCUGUCACGUACGCACCGCAGGCUGUGCAUUCACACAGUCCCUCCAACACGCCCAGGACACGCAUACAAAGAAAUGCAAUUAUGACAAUCAAAGUGGACAAAUGCAGUUUGCUGCCGAACGCAGCCGUGCCCCAAUCGCAGGCCCAUCAAAAGGUGCAACUCCGGCUGACAAAUGACAGGUGCACGGCCACUCAAAGUCACCUGGCUAGCCACCAUCCGCCAACCGCCAAACACCAACCACACCAGCCCCCACCCGACAGCCCCCUUCCAAACGGUGAGUGCCAAUACCUCAAAAUUCCAUUCCAACUUGAAAAAGUUAAACCACAUUAAUUAUAAUUAUUAUUUGAUUAUGAAAACAGUUUUGGGGUGGCAAGUGGCAAGUUUUAUUAAAGCGGCAAGCAUUUCAA